GACGAACGCUGGCGGCGUGCUUAACACAUGCAAGUCGAACGGAAAGGCCCUGCUUUUGUGGGGUGCUCGAGUGGCGAACGGGUGAGUAACACGUGAGUAACCUGCCCUUGACUUUGGGAUAACUUCAGGAAACUGGGGCUAAUACCGGAUAGGAGCUCCUGCUGCAUGGUGGGGGUUGGAAAGUUUCGGCGGUUGGGGAUGGACUCGCGGCUUAUCAGCUUGUUGGUGGGGUAGUGGCUUACCAAGGCUUUGACGGGUAGCCGGCCUGAGAGGGUGACCGGCCACAUUGGGACUGCGGGACGGCCCAGACUCCUACGGGAGGCAGCAGUGGGGAAUAUUGCCCAAUGGGCGGAAGCCUGAUGCAGCAACGCCGCGGGCGGGAUGACGGCCUUCGGGGUGUAAACCGCUUUCGCCUGUGACGCAGCGUGAGUGACGGUAAUGGGUAAAGAAGCACCGGCUAACUACGUG
rnacentral:rRNA from 1 species